rnacentral:rRNA from 1 species
UUAAGCGACUAAGCGUACACGGUGGAUGCCCUGGCAGUCAGAGGCGAUGAAGGACGUGCUAAUCUGCGAUAAGCGUCGGUAAGGUGAUAUGAACCGUUAUAACCGGCGAUUUCCGAAUGGGGAAACCCAGUGUGAUUCGUCACACUAUCAUUAACUGAAUCCAUAGGUUAAUGAGGCGAACCGGGGGAACUGAAACAUCUAAGUACCCCGAGGAAAAGAAAUCAACCGAGAUUCCCCCAGUAGCGGCGAGCGAACGGGGAGCAGCCCAGAGCCUGAAUCAGUGUGUGUGUUAGUGGAAGCGUCUGGAAAGGCGCGCGAUACAGGGUGACAGCCCCGUACACAAAAAUGCACAUACUGUGAGCUCGAUGAGUAGGGCGGGACACGUGGUAUCCUGUCUGAAUAUGGGGGGACCAUCCUCCAAGGCUAAAUACUCCUGACUGACCGAUAGUGAACCAGUACCGUGAGGGAAAGGCGAAAAGAACCCCGGCGAGGGGAGUGAAAAAGAACCUGAAACCGUGUACGUACAAGCAGUGGGAGCCUCUUUUAUGGGGUGACUGCGUACCUUUUGUAUAAUGGGUCAGCGACUUAUAUUCUGUAGCAAGGUUAACCGAAUAGGGGAGCCGAAGGGAAACCGAGUCUUAACCGGGCGUUAAGUUGCAGGGUAUAGACCCGAAACCCGGUGAUCUAGCCAUGGGCAGGUUGAAGGUUGGGUAACACUAACUGGAGGACCGAACCGACUAAUGUUGAAAAAUUAGCGGAUGACUUGUGGCUGGGGGUGAAAGGCCAAUCAAACCGGGAGAUAGCUGGUUCUCCCCGAAAGCUAUUUAGGUAGCGCCUCGUGAAUUCAUCUCCGGGGGUAGAGCACUGUUUCGGCAAGGGGGUCAUCCCGACUUACCAACCCGAUGCAAACUGCGAAUACCGGAGAAUGUUAUCACGGGAGACACACGGCGGGUGCUAACGUCCGUCGUGAAGAGGGAAACAACCCAGACCGCCAGCUAAGGUCCCAAAGUCAUGGUUAAGUGGGAAACGAUGUGGGAAGGCCCAGACAGCCAGGAUGUUGGCUUAGAAGCAGCCAUCAUUUAAAGAAAGCGUAAUAGCUCACUGGUCGAGUCGGCCUGCGCGGAAGAUGUAACGGGGCUAAACCAUGCACCGAAGCUGCGGCAGCGACACUGUGUGUUGUUGGGUAGGGGAGCGUUCUGUAAGCCUGUGAAGGUGUACUGUGAGGUAUGCUGGAGGUAUCAGAAGUGCGAAUGCUGACAUAAGUAACGAUAAAGCGGGUGAAAAGCCCGCUCGCCGGAAGACCAAGGGUUCCUGUCCAACGUUAAUCGGGGCAGGGUGAGUCGACCCCUAAGGCGAGGCCGAAAGGCGUAGUCGAUGGGAAACAGGUUAAUAUUCCUGUACUUGGUGUUACUGCGAAGGGGGGACGGAGAAGGCUAUGUUGGCCGGGCGACGGUUGUCCCGGUUUAAGCGUGUAGGCUGGUUUUCCAGGCAAAUCCGGAAAAUCAAGGCUGAGGCGUGAUGACGAGGCACUACGGUGCUGAAGCAACAAAUGCCCUGCUUCCAGGAAAAGCCUCUAAGCAUCAGGUAACAUCAAAUCGUACCCCAAACCGACACAGGUGGUCAGGUAGAGAAUACCAAGGCGCUUGAGAGAACUCGGGUGAAGGAACUAGGCAAAAUGGUGCCGUAACUUCGGGAGAAGGCACGCUGAUAUGUAGGUGAAGUCCCUCGCGGAUGGAGCUGAAAUCAGUCGAAGAUACCAGCUGGCUGCAACUGUUUAUUAAAAACACAGCACUGUGCAAACACGAAAGUGGACGUAUACGGUGUGACGCCUGCCCGGUGCCGGAAGGUUAAUUGAUGGGGUCAGCGCAAGCGAAGCUCUUGAUCGAAGCCCCGGUAAACGGCGGCCGUAACUAUAACGGUCCUAAGGUAGCGAAAUUCCUUGUCGGGUAAGUUCCGACCUGCACGAAUGGCGUAAUGAUGGCCAGGCUGUCUCCACCCGAGACUCAGUGAAAUUGAACUCGCUGUGAAGAUGCAGUGUACCCGCGGCAAGACGGAAAGACCCCGUGAACCUUUACUAUAGCUUGACACUGAACAUUGAGCCUUGAUGUGUAGGAUAGGUGGGAGGCUUUGAAGUGUGGACGCCAGUCUGCAUGGAGCCGACCUUGAAAUACCACCCUUUAAUGUUUGAUGUUCUAACGUGGACCCGUGAUCCGGGUUGCGGACAGUGUCUGGUGGGUAGUUUGACUGGGGCGGUCUCCUCCUAAAGAGUAACGGAGGAGCACGAAGGUUGGCUAAUCCUGGUCGGACAUCAGGAGGUUAGUGCAAUGGCAUAAGCCAGCUUGACUGCGAGCGUGACGGCGCGAGCAGGUGCGAAAGCAGGUCAUAGUGAUCCGGUGGUUCUGAAUGGAAGGGCCAUCGCUCAACGGAUAAAAGGUACUCCGGGGAUAACAGGCUGAUACCGCCCAAGAGUUCAUAUCGACGGCGGUGUUUGGCACCUCGAUGUCGGCUCAUCACAUCCUGGGGCUGAAGUAGGUCCCAAGGGUAUGGCUGUUCGCCAUUUAAAGUGGUACGCGAGCUGGGUUUAGAACGUCGUGAGACAGUUCGGUCCCUAUCUGCCGUGGGCGCUGGAGAACUGAGGGGGGCUGCUCCUAGUACGAGAGGACCGGAGUGGACGCAUCACUGGUGUUCGGGUUGUCAUGCCAAUGGCACUGCCCGGUAGCUAAAUGCGGAAGAGAUAAGUGCUGAAAGCAUCUAAGCACGAAACUUGCCCCGAGAUGAGUUCUCCCUGACCCUUUAAGGGUCCUGAAGGAACGUUGAAGACGACGACGUUGAUAGGCCGGGUGUGUAAGCGCAGCGAUGCGUUGAGCUAACCGGUACUAAUGAACCGUGAGGCUUAACCU